rnacentral:rRNA from 1 species
CCUACGGGAGACAGCAGUGAGGAAUAUUGGUCAAUGGUCGGAAGACUGAACCAGCCAAGCAGCGUGAGGGAUGAAGGUACAACGUAUCGUAAACCGCUUUUGCCCGGGGACAACAACCGGCACGCGUCGCGGUCUGCGGGUACCGUGCGAAAAAGGGUCGGCUAAUUCCGUGCCAGCAGCCGCGGUAAUACGGAGGGCCCGAGCGUUAUCCGGAUUCAUUGGGGUUAAAGGGUGCGUAGGCGGGCGUUCAAGUCAGCGGUAAAAUCGCGCGGCUCAACCCCGCCCCGCAGUUGAAACUGGCAGCCUUGAGUUGGAAACAGGCAGGCGGAAUGCGCGGUGUAGCGGUGAAAUGCAUAGAUAUCACGAAGAACCCCGAUUGCGAAGGCAGCAUGCCGG